ensembl:lncRNA
CCCCGAGACCAGCUGAGGGACGCAGAGAUGUCCGUGGGGGUGUAUAGAUGCCUCUGGGGACCCUAUAAAGCCCCUGAGGUGGCCCACAGAGCAGCUUAGGGACCCCAGAGAUGCCUAUGGAGCGGUAUAGAGAUCCCUGGGGACCCUAUAAAGCCCCUGAGGUGGCCCACAGAGCAGCUUAGGGACCCCAGAGAUGCCUAUGGAGCGGUAUAGAGAUCCCUGGGGACCCUAUGGAGCCCCCAAGUGGGCCCUGAGACCGGCUGAGAGACCUGGAGACGCCCAUGGGGGGCUAUCGAUGUCCCAUGGACCCUAUAGAGCCCCCGAGGAGACCCAUAGACCAGCAUAUGGACCCCAUAGCUGCCUGGGGGGACCUAUAGAUCUUCCUUGGGGACCCCUAGAUCAACAUAGCUAUUCUGAAGGCAUGCAUGGGGACCCAUAGAUCCCUUUUGGGGACCGGGGCCAGCCGUGGGGGGCUGACCUCCUCUGCCCCCCAUCACAGAGCGCCGCGGGAGUCUGCCCCGGCCCCCUGCAUCUGCCGGGGAUGGCUGUGGCACGUGGGUCACAUCGGAUGGGACCCCAACAGCGGCUUCAACGUACGUCACCCCAUAGGGGCUGUGACCCUCAGGCCUUAUGGGUGGAAGAACCCUGUGGGCCCCAUAGGGGGGAUGGACCCCCCCAAGCUCUAUAGGGGAGAGACCCCCUGGGCUGUAUAGGAGAAACACCUCCCUCCCAUGGGCACUAGAGCUCCCCUGCAGAGGCUAUAGGCCCCACACCCCUCUAGGUGGCAGCUAUGUGCCCCACACUGCCCCGGGGUGGGUGCUAUAGGGCCUGUACCCCCUUAGGUGGGUGCUAUAGGGGUCAUAACCCCCCAGGGCAAGUGCUAUAGGGCCUGUACCCCCCCCCGGGGCUGGCAUUAUAGAGGUCAUACCCCCUGAGCCAGGCUCUAUAGAGGUCAUACCCCCUGGGGUGGGGUUUAUAGGUUCCAUAUCCCCUGGGGUGGGUGCUAUAGGUCCCAUAUCCCCUGGGGAGGUCCUAUAGGGGUCCUAUCCCCUGGGGCAGGCACUAUAGGUCCCAUAUCCCCUGGGAAGAUCCUGUGGGGUCCCCCCCCAGGGUGGGUGCUAUAGGUCCCAUACCCUCUGGGGUGGGUGCUAUAGGUCCCAUAUCCCCUGGGGAGGUCCUAUAGGGGUCCUAUCCCCUGGGGCAGGCACUAUAGGUCCCAUAUCCCCUGGGAAGAUCCUGUGGGGUCCCCCCCCAGGGUGGGUGCUAUAGGUCCCAUACCCUCUGGGGAGGUCCUAUAGGGGUCCUAUCCCCUGGGGCAGGUGCUAUAGGUCCCAUAUCCCCUGUGGUGGGUGCUAUAGGUCCCAUAGCCCCCUGGGGAGGUCCUGUGGGGUCCCACCCCCCCAGGGUGGGUGCUAUACACCCCACGCCCCCAGGGCGGGGCGGGCAGCACGGCCCCAUACCCGCGGGGAGGGCGGCGGGUGGUGCCAGCAGCCCUACGGAGGCCGUAGGUGCCGGGCCGCAGGUGCAGGAGCUGGACCCAGACUUGCGGGCGCUGUUCGCCCCGGCCGGCAUC